rnacentral:rRNA from 1 species
GACGAACGCUGGCGGCGUGCUUAACACAUGCAAGUCGAACGGAAAGGCCCUGCUUUUGUGGGGUGCUCGAGUGGCGAACGGGUGAGUAACACGUGAGUAACCUGCCCUUGACUUUGGGAUAACUUCUGGAAACUGGGGCUAAUACCGGAUAGGAGCUCCUGCUGCAUGGUGGGGGUUGGAAAGAUUCGGCGGUUGGGGAUGGACUCGCGGCUUAUCAUCUUGUUGGUGGGGUAGUGGCUUACCAAGGCUUUGACGGGUAGCCGGCCUGAGAGGGUGACCGGCAACAUUGGGACUGAGAUACGGCCCAGACUCCUACGGGAGGCAGCAGUGGGGAAUAAUGCACGAUGGGCGGAAGCCUGAUGCAGCAACGCCGCGUGCGGGAUGACGGCCUUCGGGUUGUAGACCGCUUUCGCCUGUGACGAAGCGUGAGUGACGGUAAUGGAUAAAGAAGAACCGGCUAACUACGUG